UACGUAGGUGGCAAGCGUUGUCCGGAUUUAUUGGGUUUAAAGGGUGCGUAGGCGGCCCUGUAAGUCAGUGGUGAAAUACGGCAGCUCAACUGUCGAGGUGCCAUUGAUACUGCAGGGCUUGAGUACAGACGAGGUAGGCGGAAUUGACGGUGUAGCGGUGAAAUGCUUAGAUAUCGUCAAGAACACCGAUAGCGAAGGCAGCUUACUAGGCUAUAACUGACACUAAGACACGAAAGUGUAAAGAUCAAACAGG
rnacentral:rRNA from 1 species